GAUGAACGCUAGCGGCAGGCUUAACACAUGCAAGUCGAGGGUAACAGGGGUGCUUGCACCCGCUGACGACCGGCGCACGGGUGCGUAACGCGUAUAGAACCUACCUUUUACAGAGGGAUAGCCUUUAGAAAUGAAGAUUAAUACCUCAUGGUAUUGCAGAUUGGCAUCGAUCAGCAAUUAAAGAUUUAUCGGUAAAAGAUGGCUAUGCGUCCUAUUAGCUAGAUGGUAAGGUAACGGCUUACCAUGGCAACGAUAGGUAGGGGCCCUGAGAGGGGGAUCCCCCACACUGGUACUGAGACACGGACCAG
rnacentral:rRNA from 1 species